GACAGAGGCCCCAAGCGUUAGGCGGAAUCACUGGGCUUAAAGCGUGUGUAGGCGGACGCUUAAGUGUCUUGUGAAAUCCCACGGCUCACCCGUGGAACUGCUGGGCAUACUGGGCGUCUUGGGCCAACUAGGGGCAGCCGGAACAAGCGGUGGAGCGGUGAAAUGCGUAGAUAUCGCUCGGAACGCCGAAGGUGAAAACAGGCUGCUGGGGUUGCGCCGACGCUGAGACACGAAAGCCAGGGGAGCAAACGGG
rnacentral:rRNA from 1 species